UAGAGGAUGCGAUGUUGUUUUGCAGGUGUGGGCUUUAGAACACGUCUUGGUGCAGCAAAGAACAAGUACAAACUUUCCAAUGAUGUUUCCAAGAAUGUUCAAGAUGUAUGAUAGUUCGAUCAAUGAUAAAGAUAUAGCACAUUUGCUUGACAACAAUCGGGCUAUUGAAGACUUGUGUGCCACUAACGAAGAGCUCGAAUAUGCAGCAGUGCGAGAAGCUUCAUUUUGGGUACCAAC